rnacentral:rRNA from 1 species
GACGAACGCUGGCGGCGUGCUUAACACAUGCAAGUCGAACGGAAAGGCCCUGCUUUUGUGGGGUGCUCGAGUGGCGAACGGGUGAGUAACACGUGAGUAACCUGCCCUUGACUUUGGGAUAACUUCAGGAAACUGGGGCUAAUACCGGAUAGGAGCUCCUGCCGCAUGGUGGGGGUUGGAAAGUUUCGGCGGUUGGGGAUGGACUCGCGGCUUAUCAGCUUGUUGGUGGGGUAGUGGCUUACCAAGGCUUUGACGGGUAGCCGGCCUGAGAGGGUGACCGGACACAUUGGGACUGAGAGACGGCCGAGACGCCUACGGGAGGAAGCAGUGGGGAAUAUGGAACAAUGGGCGGAAGCCUGAUGCAGCAACGCCGCGUGCGGGAUGACGGCCUUCGGGUUGUAAACCGCUUUCGCCUGUGACGAAGCGUGAGUGACGGUAAUGGGUAAAGAAGCACCGGCUAACUACGUG